ACACGUGGACAACCUACCCUUAGGUCGGGGAUAAACCCGGGAAACUGGGUAUAAUACCCGAUAGUCCUCGGAUGCUGGAAUGCACCGAGGUCUAAAGCUCCGGCGCCUAAGGAUGGGUCUGCGGCCUAUCAGGUAGUAGUGGGUGUAGCGUACCUACUAGCCUACGACGGGUACGGGUUGUGAGAGCAAGAGCCCGGAGAUGGAUUCUGAGACACGAAUCCAGGCCCUACGGGGUGCAGCAGGCGCGAAAACUUUACAAUGCUGGAAACAGCGAUAAGGGGACCUCGAGUGCCAGGUUACAAAUCUGGCUGUCGUGAUGCCUAAAAAGCAUUGCAUAGCAAGGGCCGGGCAAGACCGGUGCCAGCCGCCGCGGUAACACCGGCGGCUCGAGUGGUAACCGCUAUUAUUGGGUCUAAAGGGUCUGUAGCCGGCCGGAUAAGUCUUUUGGGAAAUCUGGCAGCUUAACUGUCAGGCUUUCAGAGGAUACUGUCUGGCUCGAGGCCGGGAGAGGUGAGAGGUACUU
rnacentral:rRNA from 1 species